rnacentral:rRNA from 1 species
UGCUGGAUGAGAAGACGUUUGGUAAGCACUGCCCGGUGCCCGACGGGGUUAACGGUGGUCCUUUGGGUUUUAAUGUAGCGUAAUACCUCGCCCUUUAAUUGUGGGCUUGCAUGAAGUGUUUACGAGGGAGCAACUGUCUCCGCUUAGUGUUGAAAAAUCGAAUUCUAGGUGAAAUUGCCUUGAUGGGGGUAAAAGACGACAAGACCCCGUGCAGCUUUACACUAUUGGUCAAGGAUGGCUGAAAUGUUGUUUGGUUGGGGCAACAGGGGAAUAGACAAAACUUCCUUGAUUAGUUUAUAAUUUGCGAAUAACUUACAUUAAGCCCUGCAGCGACCUAAAAAGAUGAAGAGGUAGAGCGAGAGCUGCAGGCAAAAUGAAGUUAAGUGAGUUAAGGUGACUGGCGGGUGACGAUCUGAUUUGAUAGAUAAGCGGAGAAGUUACGCCGGGGAUAACAGCGCAAUCUUCAAUUGGAGUACGCAUCUGAUUGUGGGCUUGCGACCUCGAUGUUGAAUCAGCGAAACCUGGGGGCGCAGAAGCCCUUACGGAAGGACUGUUCGUCCUCUGAGACGCU